GUGGAUUUUUUUCAAGACUCGAUCUCGUCGACCAAAACUUCAAGGUUUCAUUGCUUUUAUAGAUUCAUUUGAGCAAGUAUCAAAAUUAUUUAUAAUGGCAUCUGAUCCAGACACACAAGAAGUUAUCUUGAUCCUCGUCGCUAUUACUCUUGGGAUUAUUGUCUUCGCCAUCAUUGUACUCUUUGUAUACAUUUGUGUAUUUCAAAGACAAAUCGCGAGAAUCAAAAAAAGAAUGUACUCGCCCACGGUAACUGUGAGCAGAUAAUGAAACUAUAAAUCUUCACCUUCAUACAGAUGAUGAAACUAUAAAGCUUCAUCUUCAUACAGAUGCUUGUAAAUAGUUUUCAUUAAGAUUCGUAAGUGAAAUAUAAAACCAAAAAAUA